rnacentral:rRNA from 1 species
UACUAGUAAUCGCAGAUCAGAAUGCUGCGGUGAAUGCGUUCCCGGGUCUUGUACACACCGCCCGUCACACCACGGGAGUUGGAGACGCCCGAAGCCGACUAUCUAACCUUUUGGAAGAAGUCGUCGACGGUGGAAUCAAUAACUGGGGUGAAGUCGUAACAAGGUAGCCGUAUCGGAAGGUGCGGCUGGAUCACCUCCUUUCUAAGGAGA